rnacentral:tRNA from 1 species
AAAGAUUUAGUUUAAUAAAACAUUAACUUGUCAAGUUAAAAUUACUUUUAAGUAAUCUUUU